AUUGAACGCUGGCGGCAUGCCUUACACAUGCAAGUCGAACGGUAACAGGUCUUCGGAUGCUGACGAGUGGCGAACGGGUGAGUAAUACAUCGGAACGUGCCCGAGAGUGGGGGAUAACGAGGCGAAAGCUUUGCUAAUACCGCAUACGAUCUCAGGAUGAAAGCAGGGGACCGCAAGGCCUUGGGCCCACGGAGCGGCCGAUGGCAGAUUAGGUAGUUGGUGGGAUAAAAGCUUACCAAGCCGACGAUCUGUAGCUGGUCUGAGAGGACGACCAGCCACACUGGGACUGAGACACGGCCCAGACUCCUACGGGAGGCAGCAGUGGGGAAUUUUGGACAAUGGGCGCAAGCCUGAUCCAGCCAUGCCGCGUGCAGGAUGAAGGCCUUCGGGUUGUAGACUGCUUUUGUACGGAACGAAAAGACUCUGGUUAAUACCUGGGGUCCAUGACGGUACCGUAAGAAUAAGCACCGGCUAACUACGUGCCAGCCGCCGCAGUAAGAC
rnacentral:rRNA from 1 species